rnacentral:rRNA from 1 species
UACGAAGGGGGGCUAGCGUUGCUCGGAAUCACUGGGCGUAAAGCGCACGUAGGCGGAUUGCUAAGUCAGGGGUGAAAUCCUGGAGCUCAACUCCAGAACUGCCCUUGAUACUGGCGGUCUCGAGUCCGGGAGAGGUGAGUGGAACUGCGAGUGUAGAGGUGAAAUUCGUAGAUAUUCGCAAGAACACCAGUGGCGAAGGCGGCUCACUGGCCCGGUACUGACGCUGAGGUGCGAAAGCGUGGGGAGCAACA